GACAAAUUUGUUGCAUCUCAGCUUAGCCAUGAAGAUGCUUCCAAAGAAGCUAACUACUCAAAUUCUGCCGCCUUUCAUGUCGUUGAACAGAUCAAUAUGCUCUCUAGUGAGUCUAAAAGGCCUGAAGUUGUGCAGGAAUACGCCUCAACGUCAACAUCUAGUUGCCAAAUUGAUUUGUGGAAGUGAUCAAAGCAUAUAUAUAUAUAUAUAUAUAUAAAAUAUAUAGUUACUAGAGGAUGCAUACUAAUUAAUUAUAGAUACUACAGUUAUAUAUAUGAAAACAAGUCUUGAGGAUGAUCCAAGUGGCUGUACAUAAUAAAACUAAAAUGGGUAUGCCUUUUUUUUUCAUUAUUAUUUAGCUAUUAUUGGACUUAUUGUGUCCAUGAUAAUAUUGAUGAGAAAUUACUACUGGGCAACUAAAGAGAGUACAAAUGCCAACAGAAAAUAAGUUAGUACUCUCUGUAUGGCUGAGCUUCAUGAGGACUGACUCAGCCGUUGAAUGUUGAAUGCACCUUAAGCCUUCAAUUUACAUUUGAAGGUUUUUUUUUAUUAAUAUUGUAACUGUUUUUUUCUAUUUAAAUUUUUGUAUUUCUGUAUGUUUAACCACUUAAGAUACCUUUAAAUCGAGGUUUUCCUGUUAUUUUCAUGUCCCUAGCUAAGAUAUUCUGAUGGAAUGAAGAAUAGUCUGUUGUUUUGGUCUUGAUAAAACAUACACAUUUCUUCCUUACUAUUAAUAAUUAAUGAUGCUAUAUCAGCCAAACCUAAAUUUCUUGGAAAAUCUUAUAAUGCAACAUUCUUCAUGUCUAACUUAUUGUUUCGUACCAUGAGCCUUUUUUUGUAGCCAUAAAAUUUUUAUCACAAUAAAGAGCGGGCGAAAAGAAAAAAAAAAAAAAAAAAAGAACUACUAUGCCAAAUGCUAAAUUGGAUAUGGAUAUGCAGGAAAUUACAUCAUCUUGGGAGUAUAUAUAAAUAAGCUCCCAUAUUUGACCAACUUAGACAUUUUCAAUUUAUCAGUAUCUGCUGCUUUCAAGUCAUAUAGAGUUACACUUACAGAACCUUCUUAAAUUAUUAGCUGAACUUAGUUACCAUAAAUUACUUAACAGUAAAAAAUGAAACCAGUUAUAUAUAUACUUGGACAGACAAUGCCUUAUGAUCAUGGUGGCUGAACAUAUAAGCAUCCAUGUCCUAUACACAUAUAAAUAUUACGAGGCAUUCAAUGGGUGUGGAUACAACUAGCAAGUUUCAUUCAAUCAAUAACGAAGUGGGUUGAAUUUAUUUGAUCUAACAUGCAAAAAAGAGAAAAAAAAGGUGAUCAUUUACCAUUGAGUUUUCGCUACUGCCACUGGAGUCAUCUCUAAACAUGUAAAUUUGCUAUUUUAGAUUGCUGAAAAGCGUAAUUAACUUUUAAAAAAAGUUACUAUUUUGUUUACCGAGUAAUGUUAAUUUGGCCCUCCAAUGUAUUGUUAUUGUUAUUUUUAUUAUUCUGUGUGACACGAUAACUAUAGUCAUAUAAAUAAAAGAAAAGUUCACUGCAUAUCACCACCUAUAGUUUCUUUUCAUUUUCUUUUAUGCCUGUGGUGAUUUAUACACAUUUAUUUUAUUUGCAUAACUAAAAUUGCCAUGCUAGGUUAGACAAUGACGUUUACAUAUAUUUGCAGGUUAAAUACCAUUGCUCUUCAUUUACUCAAGUUUUGCCUAAAAGUUUCAACAAAUAACCCUCUAAUCAUGCUGCAUUCAGUUUAUAAAUUCUAAUUUUCCUAUACAUAAAAUCCUUAAACAAAUUAUUCAAGUUAAGGCUAGGAACAUAGAAAUAAUCUUAUUAGAAUCAAGUGUGCAUAUCUUGAACAUAAAAGAACCAGCAUAUAUAGCUAUAGCACUCUAAACAUCUCUAAAACUUCAAAAAGUGAAACUAAUAAACUUUUGUUUGUUUACCUCUGUUUUAAAAGAAAUUGAAUGAAAGGUAUAAACUCUCACCUGAUCGAAAGAGUUUUUCAUGAUUCUCUAAAUUUAUUACCAAAUACAAGAUACAGAGAUAAGAAGCAGAGAUGAGUAUAAACUUAUCAAGUUACAAGAAAAUUCUUCUCAGGUAGAGGAUAAUUAGAGAAUAUGCUAUUUGGAUAAUCAGCGCAGCAGUGAUAAGAUUCUUAAGCACAUACAUACCUGUGCAAGAAGAUGAAUUUCCAAUUCCUAUUUGGUUAGAUUGAUAAUCACAGCUAAGAACAAGAAUGACGGAGAGAGUUGCAAGUGUAGCCUUGACUGCGUCAAAGUAGGUUGAAAAUUUACUGGGUUUAAAUACUAAGGUGGCAAGAAAGCAAGUCACAUGAUUAAUGGGUAACAAGACUAAGAAGUAAGAAAAGUAUAUUGGGUUAGGGUUGUUAUUUACCUGGACGACACAAAACUCUUACUUGGGUUGAAGUCAAGCAUUAAAAUCCCUUUAAAGCAAUGAAAAUAUUUCCAAAGCGACAUAAUGAGUGUGGGCGUGCUUUCAUGGACUCAUCAGCAAUGCAAGUGCUUUGCCUUCUUGCUGACCAACUUUGACAUAUGCCCC
rnacentral:lncRNA from 1 species